rnacentral:rRNA from 1 species
AAUCAACGCUGGCGGCGUGCCUCAGACAUGCAAGUCGAACGCGAAAUUUCCCUUCGGGGGAGAAAGUAGAGUGGCGCACGGGUGAGUAACACGUAGGUAAUUUGCCUUUGGGUGGGGAAUAACUCAGGGAAACUUGAGCUAAUACCGCAUAAUGCAGCGGCUCGACAUCGAGACAGUUGUUAAAGCGGGGGAUUGGAGCAAUCCGACCUCGCGCCUAAAGAGAAGCCUGCGGCAGAUUAGCUAGUUGGUAAGGUAAUGGCUUACCAAGGCGACGAUCUGUAACCGGCCUGAGAGGGCGGUCGGUCACACUGACACUGACAUACGGGUCAGACUCCUACGGGAGGCAGCAGUCGGGAAUUUUGGGC